rnacentral:rRNA from 1 species
CGUAGGGCGCAAGCGUUAUCCGGAAUUAUUGGGCGUAAAGAGCUCGUAGGCGGUUUGUCGCGUCUGCCGUGAAAGUCCGGGCUUAACCCCGGAUCUGCGGUGGGUACGGGCAGACUAGAGUGAUGUAGGGGAGACUGGAAUUCCUGGUGUAGCGGUGAAAUGCGCAGAUAUCAGGAGGAACACCGAUGGCGAAGGCAGGUCUCUGGGCAUUAACUGACGCUGAGGAGCGAAAGCAUGGGAGCGAACAGGAUU